rnacentral:rRNA from 1 species
AUUGAACGCUGGCGGCAUGCCUUACACAUGCAAGUCGAACGGUAACAGGUUAAGCUGACGAGUGGCGAACGGGUGAGUAAUGUAUCGGAACGUGCCCAGUCGUGGGGGAUAACUGCUCGAAAGAGCAGCUAAUACCGCAUACGACCUGAGGGUGAAAGCGGGGGAUCGCAAGACCUCGCGCGAUUGGAGCGGCCGAUAUCAGAUUAGGUAGUUGGUGAGGUAAAGGCUCACCAAGCCGACGAUCUGUAGCUGGUCUGAGAGGACGACCAGCCACACUGGGACUGAGACACGGCCCAGACUCCUACGGGAGGCAGCAGUGGGGAAUUUUGGACAAUGGGCGCAAGCCUGAUCCAGCCAUGCCGCGUGCGGGAAGAAGGCCUUCGGGUUGUAAACCGCUUUUGUCAGGGAAGAAAAGGUUCUGGCUAAUACCUGGGACUCAUGACGGUACCCGAAGAAUAAGCACCGGCUAACUACGUG